UUACGGCCAUAUAACCUUGAAACACCGGUUCCCGUACGAUCACCGAAGUUAAGCAACAUUGAGCCUAGUCAUUACUUAGAUGGGCGAUCGCUUAAAAAUACCAGGUAUUGUUA